UUCAAGAUUAAAAUCGCCAGAAUGGAACUUCACAAACCAUCAAUGUACUGUGUGUUCAUUAGCCACAUCCUUCCCCAACUCCCCACUGAUGUUUUGAGCUGUCUGUGGGCACUGCAUUGGUUCUACUGAUGAAUUCAUCCAAAUGUAUAAAGAAGAACCAAUAUCAACCCUCUUUAAACUAUUCUGAAAAACUGAAGAGGAAGUAAUUCUCCCUAACUCAUUCUAAGGCAUCAACAUCACCCUAAUACAAAAACCAGACAAUGGCCUUUCUGUCUGGCGGCCGCCAUCAGGUAAGCCAAGAUGGGUGCAUGCAAGUAUAUCCAGGAGCUGUGGAGGAAGCAGCAGUCUGAUGCAAUGCACUUUCUUCUGAGGGUCGCUGCUGGCAAUGCCGGCAGCUCUCUGCGCUCCACAGGGCUCCCCGCCCCACCCGACUGGAUAAAGCGCGCAGACUGGGAUACAAGGCCAAGCAAGGUUAUGUCAUAUAUAGGAUUUGUGUGCACCGUGGUGGCCCCAAACGCCCAGUUCCUAAGGGUGCGACUUACGGCAAGCCUGUCCAUCAUGGUGUUAACCAGCUAAAAUUUGCUCUAAGCCUUCAAUCUGUUGCCGAGGAGCGAGCUGGAUGCCACCGCGGGGCUCUGAGAGUCCUGAAUUCUUACUGGGUUGGUGAAGAUUCCACGUACAAAUUUUUUGAGGUUAUCCUCAUUGAUCCAUUCCAUAAAGCUAUCAGAAGAAAUCCUGAUACCCAGUGGAUCACGAAACCGGUCCACAAGCACAGGGAGAUUCGUGGGCUGACGUCUGCAGGCCGCAAGAGCCCUGGCCUUGGAAAGGGCCAUAAGUUCCACCACACUAUUGGUGGUUCUCGCCGUGCAGCUUGGAGAAGGCGCAAUACUCUCCAGCUCCACCAUUACCGCUAAUAAGUAAUGUCUGUAAAAUUCAUACCUAAUAAACAAUUUAGGAUGGUCAUGUCUGCUUAAAGGUGUUAUUUGUCUGUUAAGCUAGUCUGCAGAUUGUUUCAUGAAUGCUUUGUCAAAUAUGAAGUUAAAAGUGCAAUAAUGUUUGAAGACUAUAAGUGAUGGUGUAUUUGUUUCUAAUAAGAUAAGCUUUUUUUGUCUUUUGCUUUAUCUUAUUAGGGAGUUUUAUGUCAGUGUUUAAAACAUGCUGUGUGGUAUAAUAGGUGUAAAAUAAAUUCUUUAAAAGAGAAGUGCUACAACUACCCUGUAGAUUUGUUUGAUGCAUGUGGUGAAACCUACAGCUUUACUGGGGUGAUGGCAAUGCUCUGCUUGCUUUUUAAUUGGGUUUUGUUUAGAAAUUUAUAGGGUGGGAGGAGGAUAUCCUAACCCUAUGUAUGUCGUGGUCAUAUGUAGAAAAAUAUGAGCUCAUGUAGAGCCCGUGUCUUCAGAUUUAGUCCAGUGUUCCAUUUGUUUCUGAAAGAAAAGUUUAAAAUGCCACUGUUUUUUGGAACUAAAUAUACCUGUUGCAACAGGCUUAUCUUAUGAAUUAAACUUCUGGGUUAACCUAAAAAUUGCCUCAGUCUCCACCGUACCAUUUAAGUUAACAUAAGAGAUAAAAGCUGCUCCUGAUUCAAUCCCAUGGCUCCAUGAAAUCUAGAGUCCUGGAUUCUAUACAUAGUAGACAGUAGUGGUAUUUACACUGUAUUUUGAAACUGAUGGAAAUUGAAUGUUAGGCAAGUAAGAAUCAUUAACCUUAUAUUUGUAAGCUGGUAAGCCAGUGGCCAUUAGGUAAAUACCUUUCAAAGGUGAGGUGAGAAAAUUAAAGUCACCUUUAUUCAAGAUUUUUAAAUACUUAUCUGUAACACUAACUUGUGAGCAUUAUAAAUCCUCUAGCCACAUUAGGGGUAAAAGUAUAGUUGGCUGCUUAAAAAUAUGUCAUUCUCAGUCCAUUCUUAACAAAUCAUCUUGGGUCAGCCCAGUCUAUAAGGAACAGGGAAGAGUCAUACAUAGUUGGUGUCGAUGUAAAUUCAUGGUUUCCAAUCUAACCUUACACUUCCUCGGUUUGUUUCUGAUCAAAAUACCCUGAAAAUCCUUAGCCUUUCACAAAGUUGGGCCAUCAGUUG